CCUUGAUUUGAUUGUUAAAGUGCCAACAGUAGUGGUCGCUACAACUAAUAGUGCAUCAGACUUUAUUAUUUGCCAUGUUUAAAGAUGGAAAUUUUUGAAAUAAAAUCUUUGGAGUUUGAUUAAUGUUGAUGUUGUGAAAGUAUGCAAACCCGACUAUGAAGUUCGAUCCAUUUAGAGAAACUUAUCUUGAAUAUUGGAUUGGAUCAAGCAAUCAGAUCUCUUGGAUUGUGGAUUCUGGACCAGG
rnacentral:lncRNA from 1 species